rnacentral:rRNA from 1 species
UACAGAGGUCCCAAGCAUUGUUCGGAUUUACUGGGCGUAAAGGGUGCGUAGGCGGUCGGGUAAGUCUGGUGUGAAAGCUCGGAGCUCAACUCCGAAACGGCAUUGGAUACUAUUCGGCUCGAGGUUGGGUAGGGAGACUGGAAUUCUCGGUGUAGCAGUGAAAUACGUAGAUAUCGAGAGGAACACCAGUGGCGCAGGCGAGUCUCUGGACCAAUCCUGACGCUGAGGCACGAAAGCCAGGGGAGCAAACGGG